rnacentral:rRNA from 1 species
UACGUAGGGGCAAGCGUUGUCCGGAUUUAUUGGGCGUAAAGAGCGUGUAGGCGGUUUGGUAGGUCCGUUGUGAAAACUCGAGGCUCAACCCUCGAGACGCCGGGCGGGAAACCAUCAGGCUAGAGUCCGGAAGAGGAGAGUGGAAUUCCUGGUGUAGCGGGUGAAAUGCGCAGAUAUCAGGAAGAACACCCGUGGCUAAGGCGGCUCUCUAGUACGGUACUGAGCUG